GCGCUCAAUUGGUUAGAGCGAGGUGCUGAUAACGCCAGGGUUGCAGGUUCGAUCCCCAUAGGGGACG